ACCCUAACCCAACCCUAACACUAACUCCAACCCUAACCAUAACCAUAACCCUAACCGUUAACCCUAAACCCAACCCUAGACCCUAUCCCUAACCCUAACCCAAACCCUAACCCCAACCCAAACAAGGCCCCGGAGUGUUUCGUGUUACUUUGCCUAUGGAAAGCCACGCCAUCGCGGGUACGGGACUUAGAGUAUCGGCGGACGUUUUUGUCCGCUAACGGUAGUUGAGGGUUUCUUGUCGAAAAACGCACUAAGUCCCAACAGUCUGACUUAGUUUUUUUUUUUUUUUUAAAUUUUUUUUUUUUUUUUUAAAUUUUUUUUUCGCCUAUUCACACAAGGCCCGUAUCCACUACUGGGGGGUCAAGGUCCCGGAGCGUUCCGUGUUACUUUGCCUAUGGAAAGCCACCCCGUCGCGUGUACGGAACUUAGAGUUUCGGCGGACGUUUUUGUCCGCUAACGGUAGUUGAGGGUUUCUUGUCGAAAAACGCACUAAGUCCCAACAGUCUGACUUAGUUUUUUUUUCUGAAAAAAAAUUUUUUUUUUUUCUUUUUUUAAAUUUUUUUUCGCCUAUUCACACAAGGCCCGUAUCCACUACUGGGGGGUCAAGGUCCCGGAGCGUUCCGUGUUACUUUGCCUAUGGAAAGCCACCCCGUCGCGUGUACGGAACUUAGAGUUUCGGCGAGGUUUCGUGUCGAAAAACGCACUAAGUCCCAACAGUCUGACUUAGGUUUUUUUUUGAAAAAAUUUUUUUUCUUUUUUUAAAUUUUUUUUCGCCUAUUCACACAAGGCCCGUAUCCACUACUGGGGGGUCAAGGUCCCGGAGCGUUCCGUGUUACUUUGCCUAUGGAAAGCCACCCCGUCGCGUGUACGGAACUUAGAGUUUCGGCGGACGUUUUUGUCCGCUAACGGUAGUUGAGGGUUUCUUGUCGAAAAACGCACUAAGUCCCAACAGUCUGACUUAGGUUUUUUUUUUGAAAAAAAUUUUUUUUCUUUUUUAAAAUUUUUUUUCGCCUAUUCACACAAGGCCCGUAUCCACUACUGGGGGGUCAAGGUCCCGGAGCGUUCCGUGUUACUUUGCCUAUGGAAAGCCACCCCGUCGCGUGUACGGAACUUAGAGUUUCGGCGAGGUUUCUUGUCGAAAAACGCACUAAGUCCCAACAGUCUGACUUAGGUUUUUUUUUUGAAAAAAAAUUUUUUUUUUUCCUUUUUUAAAAUUUUUUUUCGCCUAUUCACACAAGGCCCAUAUCCACUACUGGGGGGUCAAGGUCCCGGAGCGUUCCGUGUUACUUUGCCUAUGGAAAGCCACCCCGUCGCGUGUACGGAACUUAGAGUUUCGGCGGAC